rnacentral:rRNA from 1 species
UACGUAGGGCGCAAGCGUUGUCCGGAAUCAUUGGGCGUAAAGAGCUCGUAGGUGGUCUGUUACGUCUGCUGUGAAAUCCUAGGGCUUAACCCUGGGCCUGCAGUGGAUACGGGCAGACGUAGAGGUAGGUAGGGGAGACUGGAAUUCCUGGUGUAGCGGUGAAAUGCGCAGAUAUCAGGAGGAACACCGAUGGCGAAGGCAGGUCUCUGGGCCGAUACUGACGCUGAGGAGCGAAAGCGUGGGGAGCGAACAGG